rnacentral:rRNA from 1 species
ACCUACGGGAGGCAGCAGUGAGGAAUAUUGGUCAAUGGUCGGGAGACUGAACCAGCUAAGCCGCGUGAGGGAUGAAGGUACAGAGUAUCGUAAACCUCUUUUGUCAGGGAACAAAGGCGGGGACGCGUCCCCGGAUGAGUGUACCUGAAGAAAAAGCAUCGGCUAACUCCGUGCCAGCAGCCGCGGUAAUACGGAGGAUGCGAGCGUUAUCCGGAUUUAUUGGGUUUAAAGGGUGCGCAGGCGGUCUGUUAAGUCAGCGGUCAAAGCCCGGGGCUCAACCCCGGCCCGCCGUUGAAACUGGCAGG